rnacentral:rRNA from 1 species
UACGGGGGGGGCAAGCGUUGUUCGGAAUUACUGGGCGUAAAGGGCUCGUAGGCGGCCAACUAAGUCAGACGUGAAAUCCCUCGGCUUAACCGGGGAACUGCAUCUGAUACUGGAUGGCUUGAGUUCGGGAGAGGGAUGCGGAAUUCCAGGUGUAGCGGUGAAAUGCGUAGAUAUCUGGAGGAACACCGGUGGCGAAGGCGGCAUCCUGGACCGACACUGACGCUGAGGAGCGAAAACCAGGGGAGCAAACGGG